rfam:Anoxybacillus sp. B7M1, complete genome.
UGACUGCGAUGAAGUGGAAGGUUGCUGACACACCCGGCCGCUUUGCCAUGGCGAGUGUGAGGAAAUUUCCACGGAGAAUGUCUAUUUUUAAAAUAGGCGAAGA